AUCUAAAUAGUUUAAGGUAAAAUAUUGGUUUGUGGUGCCAAUGAUAUAUUUAUAUAUUUUAGAUU
rnacentral:tRNA from 1 species